AUCUCUGCUCGCAGUUUCAGGAAGGCCUGUGGCUGCUCUAGGAGUUUGAUCAGUCAUUGCCCCAGUUUGACAGAAGGAAAGGCGGAGCUUAUUCAAAGUCUAGAGGGAGUGGAGGAGUCAAGGCUGGAUUUCAGAUCUGCCUGGUUCCAGCCGCAGUGUGCCCUCUGCUCCCCCGACGACUUUCCAAAUAAUCUCACCAGCGCCUUCCAGCUCAGGCGUCCUAGAAGCGUCUUGAAGCCUGUGGCCAGCUGUCUUUGUGUUCCCUCUCACCCGCCUGUCCCCACAGCUGAGACUCCCAGGAAACCUUCAGACCACCUUCCUCUGCCUUCAGCAAGGGGCUUUGCCCACAUUCUCUGAGGGCGUUCGGAUGGGCAGUCUGGGGCUGUUCCUGCAGUGCACCAUCUCCCUGGUCUUCUCUCUGGUCAUGGACCGGCUGGUGCAGCGGUUCGGCACUCGAGCAGUCUAUUUGGCCAGUGUGGCAGCUUUCCCUGUGGCUGCCGGUGCCACAUGCCUCUCCCACAGUGUGGCCGUGGUGACGGCUUCAGCCGCCCUCACCGGGUUCACCUUCUCAGCCCUGCAGAUCCUGCCCUACACACUGGCUUCCCUCUACCACCGGGAGAAGCAGGUGUUCCUGCCCAAAUACCGAGGGGACGCUGGAGGCGCUAGCAGUGAGGACAGCCUGAUGACCAGCUUCCUGCCAGGCCCUAAGCCUGGAGCUCCCUUCCCUAAUGGACACAUGGGUGCUGGAGGCAGUGGCCUGCUCCCGCCUCCGCCCGCGCUCUGCGGGGCCUCUGCCUGCGACGUCUCCGUACGUGUGGUGGUGGGUGAGCCCACCGAGGCAAGGGUGGUUCCGGGCCGGGGCAUCUGCCUGGACCUCGCCAUCCUGGAUAGUGCCUUCCUGCUGUCCCAGGUGGCCCCGUCCCUGUUUAUGGGCUCCAUCGUCCAGCUCAGCCAGUCUGUCACUGCCUAUAUGGUGUCUGCUGCAGGCCUGGGUCUGGUCGCCAUUUACUUUGCUACACAGGUAGUAUUUGACAAGAGCGACUUGGCCAAAUACUCAGUGUAGAACACUUCCAGCACAUUGGAGUGGAGGGCCUGCCUCACUGGGUCCCAGCUCCCCACUCCUGUUAGCCCCAUGGGGCUGCCGGGCUGGCCGCCAGUUUCUGUUGCUGCCAAAGUAAUGUGGCUCUCUGCUGCCACCCUGUGCUGCUGAGGUGCAUAGCUGCACAGCUGGGGGCUGGGGCGUCCCUCUGCUCUCUCCCCAGUCUCUAGGGCCGCCUGACUGGAGGCCUUCCAAGGGGGUUUCGGUCUGGACUUCUACAGGGAGGCCGGAAGGGCUCCAUGCACUGGAAUGCGGGGACUCUGCAGGUGGAUUACCCAGGCUCAGGGUUAACAGCUAGCCUUCUGGUUGAGACACACCUAGAGAAGGGUUUUUGGGAGCUGAAUAAACUCAGUCACCUGGUUUCCCACCUCUUAGCCCCUUAACCUGCAGCUUCAUUUAAUGUAGCUCUUGCAUGGGAGUUUCUAGGAUGAAACACUCCUCCGUGGGAUUUGAACAUAUAUGAAAGUUAUUUGUAGGGGAAGAGUCCUGAGGGGCAACACACAAGAACUAGGUACCCUCAGCCCACAGCACUGUCUUUUUGCUGAUCCACCCCGCUCUUACCUUUUAUCAGGAUGUGGCCUGUUGGUCCCUCUGUUGCCAUCACAGGGACACAGGCAUUUAAAUAUUUAACUUAUUUAUUUAACAAAGUAGAAGGGAAUCCAUUGCUAGCUUUUCUGUGUUGGUGUCUAAUAUUUGGGUAGGGUGGGAUCCCCAACAGUCAGGUCCCCUGAGAUAUCUGGCCAUUGGGCUGAUCAUUGCCAGAAUCUUCUUCUCCUGGGGUCUGGCCCCCCAAAAUGCCUAACCCAGGACCUUGGAAAUUCUACUCAUCCCAAAUGAUAAUUCCAAAUGCUGUUACCCAAGGUUAGGGUGUUGAAGGAAGGUGGAGGGUGGGGCUUCCGGUCUCAACGGCUUCCCUAACCACCCCUCUUCUCUUGGCCCAGCCUGGUUCGCCCCACUUCCACUCCCCUCUACUCUCUCUAGGACUGGGGUGAUGAAGGCACUGCCCGAAAUUUCCCCUACCCCCAACUUUCCCCACUGGCUCCACAACCCUGUUUGGAGCUAUUGCUGGACCAGAAGCACAAAGUGUGGUUUCCCAAGCCUUUGUCCAUCUCAGCCCCCAGAGUAUAUCUGUGCUUGGGGAAUCUCACACAGAAACUCAGGAGCACCCCCUGCCUGAGCUAAGGGAGGUCUUAUCUCUCAGGGGGGUUUAAGUGCCGUUUGCAAUAAUGUCGUCUUAUUUAUUUAGCGGGGUGAAUAUUUUAUACUGUAAGUGAGCAAUCAGAGUAUAAUGUUUAUGGUGACGAAAUUAAAGGCUUUCUUAUAUGUUUA
rnacentral:sRNA from 1 species